rnacentral:rRNA from 1 species
AGGGAAUAUUGCGCAAUGGGGGAAACCCUGACGCAGCGACGCCGCGUGAGUGAUGAAGGACUUCGGUUCGUAAAGCUCUGUUGCAAGGGAAAAAGUUCUGAUUGUACCUUGUGAGGAAGGGUCGGCCAACUUCGUGCCAGCAGCCGCGGUAAGACGAGGGACCCUAGCGUUGUUCGGAAUCAUUGGGCGUAAAGCGGGUGCAGGUGGCUUUGUAAGUCAGGUGUGAAAGCCCAGGGCUCAACCCUGGAAGUGCAUUUGAUACUGCGGAGCUUGAGUGCUGGAGAGGUUACUAGAAUUCCAGGUGUAGUGGUGAAAUACGUAGAUAUCUGGAGGAAUACCGGAGGCGAAGGCGGGUAACUGGCCAGACACUGACACUCAGACCCGAAAGCGUGGGGAUCAAAC